GACGAACGCUGGCGGCGUGCUUAACACAUGCAAGUCGAACGGAAAGGCCCUGCUUUUGUGGGGUGCUCGAGUGGCGAACGGGUGAGUAACACGUGAGUAACCUGCCCUUGACUUUGGGAUAACUUCAGGAAACUGGGGCUAAUACCGGAUAGGAGCUCCUGCUGCAUGGUGGGGGUUGGAAAGUUUCGGCGGUUGGGGAUGGACUCGCGGCUUAUCAGCUUAUUGGUGGGGUAGUGGCUUACCAAGGCUUUGACGGGUAGCCGGCCUGAGAGGGUGACCGGCCACAUUGGGACUGAGAUACGGCCCAGACUCCUACGGGAGGCAGCAGUGGGGAAUAUUGCACAAUGGGCGGAAGCCUGAGGCAGCAACGCCGCGUGCGGGAUGACGGCCUUCGGGUUGUAAACCGCUUUCGCCUGUGACGAAGCGUGAGUGACGGUAAUGGGUAAAGAAGCACCGGCUAACUACGUG
rnacentral:rRNA from 1 species